AGAGUUUGAUCAUGGCUCAGGAUGGACGCUGGCGAGAUGCCUUACACAUGCAAGUCAUACGAGAAUUUUUAAUUCAAGUGGCGGACGGGUGAGUAACACGUAAGAAUUUGCCUUUAGGAGGGGGACAACAACUGGAAACGGUUGCUAAUACCCCAUAUGCUUUCGAGUGAAAUGGAUUUUUCCGCCUAGAGAGAAGCUUGCGGCUGAUUAGCUUGUUGGUAAGGUAAUGGCUUACCAAGGCGACGAUCAGUAUCUGGUUUGAGAGGAUGAUCAGACACACUGGAACUGAGACACGGUCCAGACUCCUACGGGAGGCAGCAGUGGGGAAUUUUCCGCAAUGGGCGAAAGCCUGACGGAGCAAUCUCGCGUGAGGGAUGACGGCCUAUGGGUUGUAAACCUCUUUUUUCAGGGAGGAACAAAAUGACGUGUACCUGAAGAAUAAGCAUCGGCUAACUCCGUGCCAGCAGCCGCGGUAAGACGGAGGAUGCAAGUGUUAUCCGGAAUCACUGGGCGUAAAGCGUCUGUAGGUGGUUUAGUAAGUCAACUGUUAAAUCUUGAAGCUCAACUUCAAAAUCGCAGUCGAAACUACUAGACUAGAGUAUAGUAGGGGUAAAGGGAAUUUCCAGUGGAGCGGUGAAAUGCGUAGAUAUUGGAAAGAACACCGAUGGCGAAGGC
rnacentral:rRNA from 1 species